rnacentral:sRNA from 1 species
GAGAGAGAGAGAGAGAGAAAUUUGAUUUCCACAGCAUCAGCUCCUUAAGGGAAGUAACUUCCUUAUUCUGCUAUGAUAGAAAGAAGUCCCCUACAGCCGUGUUUGGCGGCAUCUCUCCUGAUGAUGUUGGCGUUUGAAAACGGCAAGUGGGCGUGGAGCAUCUUCCAUAGGCUGCUGUGUGGGAGAACAUGGGAGCAAAGGGAAACUGAAGCAGAAGAGAAAGGCCAGGGUAACACCAUGUAGGGCAUCAGCUGACAAAUUAAGAAACUGGUAUGCGCGAAGGCUCCUUUAGACAUUCAGAAAUAAAUGUGUCCUGUGACACGGACGGCUCUGCUCAUACCUUCAAACAGAUCAGGGCUAAUAAACCACAAGGCUGAGCGUAAGGAACAACAAGCAAUUGAAGGGUCCAGCUGAAAUUGCAAACUAUAAAUCUGUCCCACAUGGCAGAAUUAUGCAAUUUUCUCCAGCAAAGCUCAGCAGUCCAGAGAUGGGAAAUGUCUGUGAUUAGAUAGGAGCAGGUUGGAAAGCACAGAUAGGUCUAAGAAGAUAAAAGGCAGAACGGCAAGCCCAGUUAGAUGAGCAGAUGAAAAACGGAAAAGGAUGGAUUUCAUCAGGAAAGGAAACCGGGAAGACUGGUCUGAACAGUUUCUUCCAGGUCAUGGAAUAAGAGAGUCUGCAAAUACUCAAGUGAUAUACCAAGGUGACAAGUUAUCCCUGAUUAGUGAAUAAAGAUGUCUCCAGCCAAUAGCUGGGCAGAAGAGAGAUAAGUUGGAUUCUCUGGUUCCUGGACUUGGGGUCAUGAGGGAGAGAGGAGGAGGAACAAGGAGAAAGCCACCAUGGGUUGUCAACUUGAUUCUAUCUGGAAAUGACUCAAACCUAAAACUGGUACACUUGUGAGGGAAUUUAGAUCAUUUUAAGUGGGAAGAUGCACUUCUGAUCCAGAUGUUGGCGAUAUGAAGGCAUACCUUUAGUCCCAGCCACACCUUCUUUGAGUUCCCCAGCCUAAAAAGGAGAGUGAUCUAUUUCAUUCAAAGGUAAAUUUAUCAAACUAAGGACAAGAGCAUGGAAGAGUAAUCACGUGAGAUAAUCACAGAGGACAUCCCAAGCUGGAAUACUCUAUAGGCACAUAAUACAAAUAAUGUAUUGCAAGACACUAGCUGAGACACAGAAAAGGGAAAGGAGAGAAAACAAAAAACACCUAAUCUCUCGUGAGAGACACAGCCAG